rfam:Candidatus Accumulibacter sp. BA-93 contig000015, whole genome shotgun sequence.
CCGGUCAUGGGACCUUGUAUUCCAGCUGCGCUGCACCCAUAAUGCUUUCCAUGGUCGUAAUUCCGGCAAACCGGAAGCGUUCUGGACGCGGGUUCGAUUCCCGCCACCUCCACCACUGCGGGGGUGCACCGGUUUCGACAGGGUGACAGAUGGCGAGCAGGCGGCCCGAGAGGCGACGGACGUAAUCCGCGCAAAACCACAAACGCCAAUGAUGAGCGUUUCGCAAUGGCCGCUUAAGGCCUGCUGAGGACAUAGCCGUCCAAUAAACAGAAUGGCUAUCGGUGGGGGCUUCGGCCCCCAUCGUCA